rnacentral:tRNA from 1 species
GGCUUGUGGCUCAGUGAUAGAGUGCUUACCUAGCACGCAUAAGGCCCUGGGUUCGAUCCUCAGCACCA